CACAGACAACCAGGAUGUUGGCUUAGAAGCAGCCACUCAUUCAAAGAGUGCGUAAUAGCUCACUGGUCGAGUGAUCCUGCGCCGAAGAUUUCCGGGGCUAAAACUUACUACCGAAGCUACGGCAUCAAUAAUGAUGGGUAGGGGAGCUUCCCAUACGGGUUGAAGCAUGACCGUAAGGACAUGUGGACAGUAUGGGAGUGAGAAUGUUGGCAUGAGUAGCGAGAUGUGGGUGAGAAUCCCACAGGCCGUAAACCCAAGGUUUCCAGGGGAAGGUUCGUCCGCCCUGGGUUAGUCGGGACCUAAGCUGAGGCCGAAAGGCGUAGGUGAUGGACAACAGGUUGAUAUUCCUGUACUACCGAUAACCGUUUGAGAGAAGGGAUGACACAGUAGGAUAAGCUAAGCACACUGUUGGUUAUGUGUGCCCAAGCAUUGAGGCAGUCAAAGUAGGCAAAUCCGCUUUGAUAAUGCUAGGAUGUGAUGGGGAGCGAAAUUUAGUAGCGAAGUAGCUGAUUUCACACUGUCAAGAAAAGUCUCUAUCGAGGUUAAAGGUACCCGUACCGCAAACCGACACAGGUGGGUGAGGAGAGUAUCCUAAGGCCAGCGAGAGAACUGUUGUUAAGGAACUCGGCAAAAUGACCCCGUAACUUAGGGAUAAGGGGUGCCACCAUCAGGUGGCCGCAGAGAAUAGGCCCAAGCGACUGUUUACCAAAAACAUAGGUUUCUGCUAAGUCGCAAGACGAUGUAUAGGAGCUGACGCCUGCCCGGUGCUGGAAGGUUAAGGGGAUCUGUUAGAGCAAUCGAAGCAGUGAACUUAAGCCCCAGUAAACGGCGGCCGUAACUAUAACGGUCCUAAGGUAGCGAAAUUCCUUGUCGGGUAAGUUCCGACCCGCACGAAAGGCGUAACGAUUUGGGCACUGUCUCA
rnacentral:rRNA from 1 species